UUCACUGACUUCUCAUGGUCACGUGACUAAUAGGAAAUAGGUUCACAACUGGACACUGUCCUCUCCUAUUUACUAGGACAGGAUGGUGUACCUAGUGUCACCAUUUCCCAGCUGAGGAAGUCAAGGCCCUGAAACACCAUGCAGAUGGCAAGUUCCUCAUGGAAAAGAGGAGACCUUUUGAUCCCAACAUCCCCACAGUGCCCAACACCAAGGCUGGCUCCCAAAGACCUGAAGCGUGGAUUGCUGGGUUGUUGGAUAAACUGACUAUUAGGCACAGCUGGCUGAAAGGCCAUCUUCCCCAAGGAGGCUUCACGUCCUCACCAUUUUAAUCCCCCUCUUCGCCUCCUGCAUGCUGCUCUUCUCUGCACUUGUGGGCAUCUGCUCUGUUAUGUUACCUGUUCCUUUGGGAGCUGUCAAGGCCGUCUUUGUAUCCUUAAUAAAUGUUGACGAGCAAACACGUAAAGGAAUGCAUGGACAUAUGGAUGGAUGGAUGGAUGGAUGACCGGACACAUGGAUGGAUGGGUGGAUGGACUCGUCAAUAAACAAAUGUACACAGAGAUAAGAGGAGGGAAACACGAAGUACUUGGACACAGGGGUUAAGAGGUUGUAUAGUGGAAAAAAACAGUGGAUUCCAUGGCAGAGGCUCCAAAUUCUAUAGAGCUUUAUCCCUCACUUGCUGUGUGAUCUAGGAAAAGUUACUACUUCUCUCCUGGGCUCUUUGUACUUGUGUUUAAAAAGAAGGGUUGCAAAGGACUAGAACUGUUGCAACUCCCCAUUCUCCGGUUCUGUGAAUGGAAAGUUCGCCCUUGAACAAACCCAUUAACGGAUGUUUUGCCCCUCCACCCUUGAAAGCAGCCAAUCUCUUCAACCAGCGGCUUAUCUGAGGCCACCCUUCUCUGCCUCAUCCCCACCGGGUGCUGCUAUCUUGUACGGGGCCUCCCGGGAUGUUUGUCAACCAAAGCAAUCGCCUUAUCUGGUGGCUCUCUCGGGCACCAUCCUGCCCUUGGAAAACAUGAAUGGAUUUGCAGAAUACCUGGCCUCCGAUAGUCCUCCCGUCCCAGGAAGGGCUAGCAAGGCAGCCUCGGCUUUCUCAGAAAGAUUGUGCGAUUUCAUGCUGCUAUCGGGACCGACACGGAGGCAGCUCCUAGCCCUGGACCCUCUAGCUAAGUUCAACUUCAGGUCAAGUCAGGGGCCCCCAGCAGCUCAGAGGCACAGGAUCCACAAGGAAGGAAUUUCAAAACGUUGCCAGAAGCUAACAACAGUCCCCAGCUGUUCCUGGCCGCCUCCUGCCCGUGAAGUACUUGGAGAGGGGUCUUUACACAGACACAGCAGAAGGAGGGGUCGAGUGAACGGCUGUGCCUCUGGGCCAGG